GCAAGCUGUUGAUAUAUACUAUAGAGAUCGAGAAGCUUCUAUAGCCUUGUUGAAGCAUCAUCUUACUCGAGCUAUAAAUCGCAUGAAACAACAAGCAAUUUGUCAUAGAACAGAUUCUUUUGAUGUUGGUGAUAUGGUGUUUGUUAAGCUAGUUCCUUAUGUUCAGCGUUCUAUGCAUACAAGUAAUCCGAAGCUGCAACCUAAGUACUUUGGGCCAUUUCUAGUCAUUGAAAAGGUUGGGCAAGUCGCUUAAAAGUUGCAACUUCGGACUGAUGCUUUAAUCCAUAAUGUCUUUCAUGUUUCCUUACUUAAGCCAGCAU
rnacentral:misc_RNA from 1 species